UGGGGAAUUUUGGACAAUGGGCGAAAGCCUGAUCCAGCAAUGCCGCGUGUGUGAAGAAGGCCUUCGGGUUGUAAAGCACUUUUGUCCGGAAAGAAAUCCUUGGCUCUAAUACAGUCGGGGGAUGACGGUACCGGAAGAAUAAGCACCGGCUAACUACGUGCCAGCAGCCGCGGUAAUACGUAGGGUGCAAGCGUUAAUCGGAAUUACUGGGCGUAAAGCGUGCGCAGGCGGUUUGCUAAGACCGAUGUGAAAUCCCCGGGCUCAACCUGGGAACUGCAUUGGUGACUGGCAGGCUAGAGUAUGGCAGAGGGGGGUAGAAUUCCACGUGUAGCAGUGAAAUGCGUAGAGAUGUGGAGGAAUACCGAUGGCGAAGGCAGCCCCCUGGGCCAAUACUGACGCUCAUGCACGAAAGCGUGGGGAGCAAAACAGGAUUAGAUACCCUGGUAGUCCACGCCCUAAACGAUGUCAACUAGUUGUUGGGGAUUUCAUUUCCUUAGUAACGUAGCUAACGCGUGAAGUUGACCGCCUGGGGAGUACGGUCGCAAGAUUAAAACUCAAAGGAAUUGACGGGGU
rnacentral:rRNA from 1 species